GGUUGGAUCAUUAAAAAAAGGACUGCCUUUCGGCUGUAAAAAGUCUGGAGAGGUGGUACCAUGUAUAAAUUAAUGGUAUUGGUAUAUACGUCAGGAGAGGGGCAUGCUAUUACAAACAUUGAAAUUGGUUUUUUAAACCACAUAGAGUAACCAACAAUGCUUGCCAAGAUUGCAGGGGGCAGUGUCCAGUCGUUAUACGCAAGGUUCGGGGGUUAUCUCUAUGCAGUAAAUUAGUAAUAAUAGUCAUGCUAUAGACAGGCCACUCCUCUCUCUGAUAUCUGAUUUCUGAUAGCCUGGCUAUCUUCUCGAGACGUCUGAUACCCCCCGGGGUCAGUGGGUCCUUAAUGGGAUGUCCUUGACAUGAACUCUGGAGACAAGUAGAGUGACAUAUGAAAGAAAGAUACAGACAGUAUAUACGUAUACUGAUGAUAUUUACCAACGCCAUUAAUAUUAUAUACAACCUUUUGUGAACUGUUUUGUCUCUGGCGGGGUGGAUGGAGUAAUUUAAAUAGCUACUCUGUCUGUCAGCCUAGAUAGGAAUAUCUGGGCCGUGGACAACCCGCCAACUGUAUCUUAACUAUCUGAUUUAAUACUUGUCUAACAAUAUAUUCAAUCAAUAUAUAAACAACUUUUGGCAACGGAUCUCUUGGCUCUCGCAACGAUGAAGAACGCAGCGAAAUGCGAUAAGUAGUGUGAAUUGCAGAAUUCAGUGAAUCAUCGAAUCUUUGAACGCACAUUGCGCUUCCUGGUAUUCCGGGGAGCAUGCCCGUUUCAGAAUCAUUAAAAUCUCAUAAUACUUGCUUGUGCAUUAUUCCUGUAAUGAUGUACAUGGCAAGUUUUGUGGAUUUUGGAUGAUUUGUCAUUUGACAAUCAUUUAAAAUUGAUUGUAUGUGCUCCAAUUGCGUAUGUCUUUUGGGUCUCUAAAGUGCAACAGAUUAUAUCUAUUCUCUUUGGUACUUAAGGAUGUACUUUGGUGUAUGUAACCAAACGUUAUUAUACAGACUCUAUAUACCAAUGUGUAUGGUUUCUGAUAACUUGGUCUGAAAUCGGGCAAGAAAACCCGCUGAACUUAAGCAUAUCAAUAAGCGGAGGAAAAGAAACUAACAAGGAUUCCCCUAGUAACGGCGAGUGAAGCGGGAACAGCUCAAAUUUGAAAUCUCGCAGGGUUACCUGUGCGAAUUGUAGUUUAGAGAAGCGUUUUCGGGGGCAACUUGGGUAUAAGUCCUUUGGAAUGAGGCAUCAUAGAGGGUGAGAAUCCCGUUUAUGAUCCAAUGUUUGCUCCUAUGUGAUACGCUUUCCAAGAGUCAGGUAGUUUGGGAUUGCUGCCUAAAAUGGGUGGUAAAUACCAUCUAAAGCUAAAUAUUGGCGAGAGACCGAUAGCGAACAAGUACCGUGAGGGAAAGAUGAAAAGAACUUUGAAAAGAGAGUUAAACAGUACGUGAAAUUGCCAAAAGGGAAACGCUUGGAACCAGUAUUGUUUACAGGUAAUCAGCCAUACAGCCUGCAAAGGUUAGUACGGUGCACUUGCUUGUAAACAGGUCAACAUCAGUUUGGUUUGGGGUAAAAAGCCAGAGGAAGGUGACUUGGACUUCGGUUUGAGUGUUAUAGCCUUUGGUCAUGCCUUGGACUGGACUGAGGUCUGCAGCAUUAUUUGGGUACCUGAUUGCCUCCUAACCCUUGGUUUUAGACAGCUUGCUGACUGAGAUUAAGGUUAGGGAGCCCAGUUAGCUUGCCACACCAGUGCUUAGGAUGUUGACGAAAUGAUUCCAAACGACCCGUCUUGAAACACGGACCAAGGAGUCUAACAUAUAUGCGAGUAUUUGGGUGGCAAACCCUUAUGCGAAAUGAAAGUGAACUUAGGUGGGAUCUUCGGUGCACCAUCGACCGGUCUGGAUUUUUUUGAUAGAUCUGAGUAAGAGCAUAUCUGUUGGGACCCGAAAGAUGGUGAACUAUGCCUGAAUAGGGUGAAGCCAGAGGAAACUCUGGUGGAGGCUCGUAGCGAUUCUGACGUGCAAAUCGAUCGUCAAAUUUGGGUAUAGGGGCGAAAGACUAAUCGAACCAUCUAGUAGCUGGUUCCCUC
rnacentral:misc_RNA from 1 species